ACUGCUCAGUAACACGUGGAUAACCUGCCCUUGGGACCGGCAUAACCCCGGGAAACUGGGGAUAAUUCCGGAUACCGCAUAUAUGCUGGAAUGCUUUAUGCGUGAAAUGGAUUCGUCUGCCCAAGGAUGGGUCUGCGGCCUAUCAGGUAGUAGUGGGUGUAAUGUACCUACUAGCCAACGACGGGUACGGGUUGUGAGAGCAAGAGCCCGGAGAUGGAUUCUGAGACAUGAAUCCAGGCCCUACGGGGCGCAGCAGGCGCGAAAACUUUACAAUGCGGGAAACCGUGAUAAGGGGACACCGAGUGCCAGCAACAUUUGUUGGCUGUCCAGGUGUGUAAACUACACCUGUUAGCAAGGGCCGGGCAAGACCGGUGCCAGCCGCCGCGGUAACACCGGCGGCCCGAGUGGUGAUCGUGAUUAUUGGGUCUAAAGGGUCCGUAGCCGGUUUGGUCAGUCCUCCGGGAAAUCUGACGGCUUAACCGUUAGGCUUUCGGGGGAUACUGCCAGGCUUGGAACCGGGAGAGGUAAGGGGUACUACAGGGGUAGGAGUGAAAUCUUGUAAUCCCUGUGGGACCACCUGUGGCGAAGGCGUCUUACCAGAACGGGUUCGACGGUGAGGGACGAAAGCUGGGGGCACGAACCGGAUUAGAUACCCGGGUAGUCCCAGCCGUAAACGAUGCUCGCUAGGUGUCAGGCAUGGCGCGACCGUGUCUGGUGCCGCAGGGAAGCCGUGAAGCGAGCCACCUGGGAAGUACGGCCGCAAGGCUGAAGCUUAAAGGAAUUGGCGGGGGAGCACAACAACGGGUGGAGCCUGCGGUUUAAUUGGAUUCAACGCCGGA
rnacentral:rRNA from 1 species